GUGUUGGGCAGCAGGCAGUAACCGCCGGCACACUGUUGGGUUUUGAGGCAACACCCGUGGUGGUGUUGUGCUCCGCGUGGUGGCGGGGUGUGGUGUUUGAGUGUUGGAUAGUGGUUGCGAGCAUCUGGCAAA
rnacentral:misc_RNA from 1 species